rnacentral:misc_RNA from 1 species
UACAGAGGGUGCAAGCGUUAAUCGGAAUUACUGGGCGUAAAGCGCGCGUAGGAGGUUGGGUAAGUUGGAUGUGAAAGCCCCGGGCUCAACUUGGGAACUGCAUCCAAAACUGGCCAGCUAGAGUACAGUAGAGGGUGGUGGAAUUUCCUGUGUAGCGGUGAAAUGCGUAGAUAUAGUAAGGAACACCAGUGGCGAAGGCGACCACCUGCACUGAUACUGACACUGAGGUGCGAAAGCGUGGGGAGCAAACAGG